rnacentral:tRNA from 1 species
GGACGCGUAGCUCAGCUGGUUAGAGCGCCCGCCUCACACGCGGGAGGUCCACGGUUCGAGUCCGUGCGUGUCCACCA